rnacentral:siRNA from 1 species
AGACUAGCCCACUGCGUGCGUCCC